AGUGAACGCUGGCGGUAGGCCUAACACAUGCAAGUCGAACGGCAGCACAGUAAGAGCUUGCUCUUACGGGUGGCGAGUGGCGGACGGGUGAGGAAUACAUCGGAAUCUACUUUUUCGUGGGGGAUAACGUAGGGAAACUUACGCUAAUACCGCAUACGACCUACGGGUGAAAGCAGGGGAUCUUCGGACCUUGCGCGAUUGAAUGAGACGAUGCCGGAUUAGCUAGUUGGGGGGGUAAAGGCCCACCAAGGCGACGAUCCGUAGCUGGUCUGAGAGGAUGAUCAGCCACACUGGAACUGAGACACGGUCCAGACUCCUACGGGAGGCAGCAGUGGGGAAUCUUGGACAAUGGGCGCAAGCCUGAUCCAGCCAUACCGCGUGGGUGAAGAAGGCCUUCGGGUUGUAAAGCCCUUUUGUUGGGAAAGAAAAGCAGCAGGUUAAUACCCCGCUGUUCUGACGGUACCCAAAGAAUAAGCACCGGCUAACUUCGUG
rnacentral:rRNA from 1 species